GCCCGGGUGAUGAAAUUGGUAAACAUGCGGGACUCAAAAUCCCGUGGCCGCAAGGCCUUGUCGGUUCAAGUCCGACCCCGGGCA
rnacentral:tRNA from 1 species